AGACAGGUUAGUUUUACCCUACUGUUGCUCGAUCAUGUGAUAGCAGUCGAGCUGAGUACGAGAGGAACGGUUCGAUCGGAUACUUGGUACUGCGCUCGAUGGAGCCGUCGAUGGCGCGAAGCUACAUCCGCGGGUUAAUGACUGAACGCCUCUAAAGUCAGAAACCUUGCUAGAAACAUGAUCUCGGCCGGGCCGCACAGCACGCUACGCUACUACUAUCCCUCGGCGCGAACACCGGGGGUACCGGAUAGCACCAUGCCCCUGCUUGCAUGCAGGGGUUCGGAAGUGCAUCCCCCGAUCGACCGUCGAUCUCUCGUCAGGUCGGCGGUCGGUGGGGGAGGGGGGUCGGUCGGGGGAUCCAUUGUAGACGACUUUGCUAACGAUAACCGGGUACUGCAAGCGGGAGAGUGUGCUGCACGAUUCGUUGAGGUUUAACCCGGGUUACCUAGAU
rnacentral:rRNA from 1 species